rnacentral:rRNA from 1 species
CCCUUAGAUGUUCUGGGCUGCACGCGCGCUACACUGAUACUUUCAGCGAGUCCACCACCUUGCCUGGGAGGGUGGGGUAACCUCUGGAAAGUGCAUCGUGAUGGGGAUCGAUUAUUGUAAUUAUUAAUCUUCAACGAGGAAUUCCUAGUAAGUAUGUGUCAUCAUCACGCACUGAUUACGUCCCUGCCCUUUGUACACACCGCCCGUCGCUCCUACCGAUUGGGUGAGCCGAUGAAACUCUCGGAUGUAGGCUAUUCAUAGCCCGCAGAAGAGAUUUGAAUCGUAGCGCUUAGAGGAAGGAGAAGUCGUAACA